CAUACCAUGCUGAAUAUACCGGUUCCCGUUAGAUCACUGAAGUCAAGCAUCAUUGGGCGCGGUCAGUACUUGGGUGGGUGACCACCUGGGAACACCGCGUGCAGU
rnacentral:rRNA from 1 species